UGAUGAGGCACCAGGGGUGAAGCGAGGCAUGGGCUGCUGGAGCGGGAAUGAGGGGGCGCCAGUGGCUCCGGAAACGGGUGGAGGUUGUCUGCCCUGGCCUCUCCGCAAACAGUGUGUGCGGGCGUGAGAAAAGUCCACCGCUACUCCGCUCCCGAGACAGGGGCGGGGGUACGGGGCGGUCCUCUGUGAAGUUGCGGCUGCUCUGCAGCCAGGUACUAAAGGAGCUGCUGGGACAGGGGAUUGAUUAUAAGAAGAUCCUGAAACUCACGGCUGAUGCCAAGUUUGAGUCAGGCGAUGUGAAGGCCACAGUGGCAGUGCUGAGUUUCAUGCUCUCCGGAACUGCCAAGCACAGUGUCGAUGGCGAAUCCUUGGCCAGUGAACUGCAGCAGCUGGGGCUGCCCAAAGAGCACGCGGCCAGCCUGUGCCGCUGUUAUGAGGAGAAGCAAAGCCCCUUGCAGAAGCACUUGCGGGUCUGCAGCCUACGCAGUAAGUAUGAGGCCAGCCAGGGUCCAGGCUCAUCCUAGAAGGUGCACGCAGCACACAAAGUGCGUGGAGAGUCCAGGGAGACAAUUUAACCGCAGUCACAUACCGAGCAGCCGCAGAGCCGGGACGUGGCCCUCGGUCUCCUGACCCCGCGCGCUCUGUGAUGUGUACGUACAGGAUCAGACCUUGCCCUUUCCUCCUGGCUGACCCUUCCUUAGUCCCCCGUGCCCCAUGUGUGAGCACCCAGCUCACUCUCAUUCCUCCCUCUCCAAAGCGUGGUCCCUGGCAGCACGAGUGGCAGAAGGGACAGCAGAGACUGUGGACCCCUCAGCUGCACCUAAGACCUCUGUGUGGUCUAGCCGUGUGUGCUGGGGGAGGCUUUUGGCCACCAUUUCCCCGUCUGUAAAUGAGACCGAUACCUGUAGCAUGGAGGGCAGGAGGCUGGUGUGAGUGCCAAGCACUUGGAGCAGGGCCCUGAGUGAGCAUGGACGUGGGAGCAGGGGUGUUUCUCGACUUUGUGCACCUUGGGGAUGGGAGUGGGGCUCCCUGCGUGGGUUGACAAGGCAUUGUUUUCUCCCACCCCACAUUUGUCCCAGCCCUGCAAGUCCAAUCCUUGUGGGUCUAGGAAGGAAGAAGCCCAUGGCUGUGUGACCUCAGGCUGGUGCCUGGCCCUCUCUGGCUGUGAGUUCCUGGGAAAGUCAGCACCCAAGGCAUGCCCUCAAGUUUAGCACUUUGACAAGAAGGGCGGGGACACUGGGAUCAGGCCCAACCCUCUGGCCCCAAAUCCCACGGCCCCAGCUGGAGGAUGAGGAGAUGCUGAGCUUGGAUGGGGGAAUCAAGGGUGUAAAGGGGCCCGCUCACCCCUCAGCUUGGCUCAAAGGUUCAAGGCGUCAAAGGUUCAGCCUGCGACUCAGGAAGGAGACCUGGCCCAGCCAGACACUCACCAGGACAAGGGCAACUGUGACGAGCAGGAGGCCCAGGAUGAGGAGAGCCACAGCAUAGCUGGAGAUAAAGGCAUCCAGCAGGCUGGAGGCUUUGGGGCUGGGAGUGCCUAGAGCAGAGCAAGAAGGCCAUGGCCUGGCGGGGCUUUGCCUCCCAGACUUCUAAGAAGACAGAAUCUGGGCCCAGAAGCUGCUGCGGGACCAGAGAGCUGGGACUAGGAGCACCUUGGAGGGCUCCAUGAGGAGGGGAGGCAGGCUUCAGAUCAGGGCAUGUGGAGGCAGCGAGCCCAAGGGAGGAGGCAGAGGAACAGAGGGAGGCGGGCCUGCAGAGGGAAGGAGGUGAUGACCGUGUCUACCAAGACGCCCUCUGCCUCCCACAGGGUGUGCAGGCCCUGGCGUGCACAGUCCCACACGACGGCCUGGGCUGGCGCCACCCUGAAGAAGGUGGCACCCACUCUGGCGGUCAGUGGGUCCGGCCUGCUGAGAGGAUUAUCACAGAUUUCAGGGGGCUGUGCAGCCUUGCGGGACUAGGGGAGGUCAUCUUUUCCAGCCUCCUGUCCUCAACCCCACAAUGCUGGUCUGAGCCCUGGGUCACCCAGGGCCACCCUGGACCCACCGGAAUUCCUCCACCACCACUUGGUCAAAGUUCUGCAGAGAUCUGAGGACGAGGGUCAGCUGGGGGUCAGGAGAGGAUGAAGAGGGUCACAGCUCUACCAAACGAAGCUUCAUUCCUGGUGGUGCCUGGCCCACCCCUCUGCUGCCAAUCUCAGGCUGGCCCAGCCCUGCAGAGUAGGUGCCUAGAGGCAUCGUAGCAGUUCCUGUCAUGCUGGUCUCCCCCCGGGGCCCCCUCUGGAGCCUGGUACCACAGAUCUCAGGGUAGGGGGUACAGCUCAGUCUCCCUUCCCCCUCAUGCCCCUCAUAGGGGCUUGGUCCACCAAGGCCCCUGACUGCUGGGGGACCCACACCCACGGCCCCCUUCUUUCUGACUGCUGGCCCUUCCCCAGCCUGGAUACUCGAGCCCUGGGCAGAGGGGUAACGAUCCCAGGACUGUCUUCGCAAGCAGAGAGGCUACUUGGCACCAGGCUCUUACUCCUUGGGCUGAGCUCAGCAGCAGGUGUGUCACCAAGGUCCCCUGGGCAGAAGGGGCUCAGCCCUGAGGGCCCAUCACUUGCCACGCCUGCAUGUUCCUGCUAGGCAUCCACCCUGGGGACCCAGCUUCCCCCUGCCCCCAGCUGCUGGCAGCCCCGUCUUGACUCAUCCAGGGUCCUGGAGGCCAUGCCAGGAAGCAGCCAGCAGCUGGGAGGAGCACGUGGUGUUUCUGCAUCUUUUUUUAUGGAGCUCCCGUGGGUGGGAGGGGCUACAGACUCAAGGGAGACUGCAGGCCACCCCUUCCCCACUCCCUGGCUGGGUGGGCUUCCAGCUCAGGAGUCUGACUGGAAGGAUGGGACUGUGCUGUCCCAGAGGCAGGUCUGAGGAGUCCAGGCCCAGUUUUACCCUCCAGCAGGGCCCCUUUCAUUCAUUUGUCCAGCUGGCUUUGCCCAAAACCCAGGUGAUGUCUAUGUGGACUGUGUCCCCUGUCCCCAAGGGGAGUCUGGCUCCAGUCCUGGCCUGGAACUCAGAGACCUUAGAAUUAGAGGCCACAUCUGGCAGGGAGGACCAGCCAGGGCAGGUACCAUGUUGGCAGCCCCAGACCUGACACCACGGCUCCCAUGUCCCCUCUCCACUUCCGUCCUGCAUAUCAUCUACGCUACGUGCUGUCUCUGAUGAAUCCAAGCUGUCAGCUUCUGUCAGCUUGGCCGGGAAGUCACGCUGACCGUAAGGGGAAUGGUGCAGCCUGAGUUGGGGGCUGAGUGGGAAUGGGCCUGGUGUGGGGUGGGGGAGGUGGGGGCGAGGCGGGUGUCUGGCGCCUCUCUGCUUAUCUUCCCUUCUCCUUUGCCCACGAAGGAGGCGUCUUCUCCAUGUCCCUCUGCCACCCUGGGAACAUAAAAUUCUGCCCCAGGUCUGUCUUCCUUUGGACAUAGCCCACCUACCUUCCUGUGGGACUCAGGGCUUUGUUUUGUCCUGUGGCCCACAUGAGAAGCAAUUAUCCCUGCCCUGCUCAGCUGAGAGAGGACAAACUGAGGCAGAGCAGGGGAACAACUCUGUCAUAGUCUGACUGUUAACGGCAGAGUCAAGACCAGCCCUUCCCUGAGUGUCACGUCCAGUGGACACUGUAUUAGUCCACUUUGCAUUGCUCUAGAGGAAUACCUGAGACUGGGUUAUUUAUUUAUUUAUUUUUGAGAU